GGGACUGACGGGUGAGCGGGUCCCCGACCCCCACCCACUCGCCCGUGCGCCGCCCCCUCCCCGGCCGCGCGAGGAGUUUGGCCCGGCCUGGCGCAGCCUGACGGAGGGGAGUGGCUCUCUCCGGGCCGGCCGGCGCCGGGGGUGAGGGUGCCGGGAAGGGGCUGGGGGCGCGCGAGGGGCCGUGCAUCCCUCGGCUCGGCUCGCCGGCCCCCGCCCCUCGCCUGCUGUCCUCCUCGGGCCUGGCCGCCCCGCCCCGCCGUGACCCCCGGCCGCCCCGGGAGCCCGACG
rnacentral:lncRNA from 1 species